rnacentral:lncRNA from 1 species
ACCACACCCAAAUGCUGCAACAGAUGAUAUCACUUUCCAGGGUAAACACAAGCAGUGUAUUCUGAGGCCACUGGCCCGACUUCCCAGGUUGACUCAUCCUGCCUUCCAGCCUUGAAGGGCAAUAUCCUUACCAACAUGUGAUCUGAAGGAGCUCUGAACCCUCCAGUGAGACAUCAGCCCAUCAGACUCACAGAGAACAGCAGGAAGGCCAAAGACUCAAGAUUUAUCUAUCCUUGAGGCCUCCGUUAUACGAAGGGAAAACAUCCCAGACCCCCCAGUGAAUGCCUGAAACUGGAUUCUACUGAACCCUGAGAUGGUACUAAGUGACUAACGGGUGAAUAGCGUGUACAGCAUGGAUACACUAGACAAAGGGAGGAUUCGCAUCCCGGGCUGGUCAGCAAGAGGUUUCAUCACCCCACUCAAAAUGGCAGGACCGUAUGAACCUGAAUCCAGAGAAACGGCUCAUCAGUCUCCAAUCCUCUGAUUUUCUAAACCAGGACUACAUUAUAUUAAAACCAGAAAAAGCAAUACCUCUUUUCACAGAAUGGACUUUCUGGUGGAAAUGGGAGGAACCAAAAGAAGGCUGACUUCUUCAUUUUGACACCCUGCCCUGACUGCAGAACGUGAUUUCCCUAAAAGACUGAAUGUUAACCUCAAAGCCUGGUCAACCAACAUGCAGGAGAAAUCUUGACCAAGGCUCUGAGCAUGCUGUGGUCCCAGUGGUGAGGGUGUGAUAUGCACUGUCUGUUCCUGGAGUCACAGUGCUCAUCUUGUGGUAAAGACCUCUUGGAAGAAUGUCUUCAAAGGCACAUCUCCAGCUGGGAGUCCUUGUUUCCUGAUUUUUUUUUUUAAGUUUAUGUUAUAUGAACAAAUGAGACUGCUUUCCCGGCAGGAGUAGCCCUCAGACGCCCACUGUGAGCCUACUUUCUGGAAGAAGCCAACUCAGACAGACCACAGUGUGUGCACAGCAUACGUGGCUGCUGGCUGUGGAUGAGAAAGUAUUCCUGAUCUGUCAGAAUAAUGAUUUCAGCGUGUUCUCAGCAGGUCCUCAGUGUGAUCCCAUGAGGAUACCCUCAACCCCUUGCAUGACAUGUUGUACUUGGAGUCCUUCCCCAUUUCAAUUUCAGCAUCAGUGGGAGGGAAAUAGCAAAACAGCAUUCCUUCAUGUAGAUAACCAGUAGGCAGCAGGCUACUCCUGGUUCGUAACAUAACUCCACCAGUGUAUUCUGGCAGCCGGGCUUACUUAAGGGAGAGCACAGACAUUCCCUGCUCAAAAACAAAACUGCUAAACGUGACUCCGGUAGCCUCCAUGCUCUCUGCAAGAAUAAAAUCCUUGAAGAAAAAUUGUGAUAAGAAGUCUGUCUUUGGAGUCAGCCUGAGCACAAUCUUGCAUCUCCAGUUACCACCUGGGUGGCUUUAUUCACUUAAGAAAUACCUGUAGGAUACAUACUACAUGGCAGGCAUGCUUCUCAGAUGUUAGCUCAUCUUGCUAAGCCUCCAGUAUCUUCAUCUAAACAGUGAGGAUAACAGUAUGUACCUCCUAGGGCCAUCUGAGGAAAAAGUGAGAUAGUGUGUAUAAAGCUCAUAGCACAGGGCUCAUAGAGAGGAUUUGCAGUUAGUGUUGGCUGUGGCAGGUAUUAUUCCCUUUACCCCA